AUUGAACGCUGGCGGCAGGCCUAACACAUGCAAGUCGGGCGAGCGGCGGCCGGGUGAGUAAUGUAUGGGGAUCUGCCUGAUGGCGGGGGAUAACUACUGGAAACGGUAGCUAAUACCGCCUACCAUCAGAUGACCCCAUAUGGGAUUAGCUAGUAGGUAAGGUCAAGGCUUACCUAGGCGACGCUCCCUAGCUGGUCUGAGAGGCUGCUCAGCCACACUGGGAGGGAGACACGGCCCAGACGCCUACGGGAGGCAGCAGUGGGGAAUAUGGCACAAUGGGCGCAAGCCUGAUGCAGCGACGACGCGUGGGGGAUGAAGGCUUUCGGGUUGUAAACCUCUUUCGCGAGGGUAGGUGGAGAAGAAGCGCCGGCUAACUACGUGCCAGCAGCCGCGGUAAUUC
rnacentral:rRNA from 1 species